GAUGAACGCUGGCGGCGUGCUUAACACAUGCAAGUCGAACGAAGCACUUUAUUACGAUUUCUUCGGAAUGACGAUUUAGUGACUGAGUGGCGGACGGGUGAGUAACGCGUGGGUAACCUGCCUUAUACAGGGGGAUAACGAUUGGAAACGAUUGCUAAUACCGCAUAAGCGCACAGUACCACAUGGUACAGUGUGAAAAACUCCGGUGGUAUGAGAUGAACCCGCGUCUGAUUAGCUAGUUGGCGGGGUAACGGCCCACCAAGGCGACGAUCAGUAGCCGGACUGAGAGGUUGAACGGCCACAUUGGGACUGAGAUACGGCCCAGACUCCUACGGGAGGCAGCAGUGGGGAAUAUUGGGCAAUGGGCGCAAGCCUGACCCAGCAACGCCGCGUGAAGGAAGAGGGCUUUCGGGUUGUAAACUUCUUUUAAGAGGGAAGAGCAGAAGACGGUACCUCUAGAAUAAGCCACGGCUAACUACGUG
rnacentral:rRNA from 1 species